UGGCCGCGCCAUGGUUGCGCGUCGCCGGCAUGCUCCGUCACGCUCGGCACCUCCUGAGCGUUGGAGUGAAGGUCGACUCGUAUGCACUCUGCAGUUCAAUUUCUACUGAUCCUGUAGCUCCUAAAUCUGUCGCGCACUUAUAUCGCAAGGUUCUUGCGUGUGUGUUUUGUCCUGCAGGGCAUUUUCUUCAGGGCAGUGGAGAGCACCCUCACCCUGAUCCGAUCUGCAGCAGCGUCCCCGAGUCCUCCCAAAGCAGCCCUGAGCCGUUCAAGUAUGCAGCCCCGGGCCGUUCAAAGACGGAGCUGCCGACCGUUCGUGAACACAACACCCCGAAUCCUGCUGCCCACCAUCCUGUAAAGGGAGACUUAUUGUGAAGACUUCAAGCUGAGUACAGAAGACUCGGUUAAUUUUUGCUCCCUUCUUGAAAUGAAGAGGGGAGUUGGUUCUCUUUUGAGGUUGCGACUCGAUUAAUCGAUUAAUUACAGCUUAUUUUCGACCUUCCUGUGCUAGUAGAUCUUUUCCCAAUUCUGAUCUUCUUUCGGUUGCUGUUUGGAUUGAUUCCCUCCGCUCUUCUUCGACCGCGCUCAUAAAUACGGCCUUGUAAUCUUGUGGAAAGGAGCAGUGCAGUGCAUGUGAGUACAUAUGGCCUGAAGCUGCUAUAAUUGUCCAAAAUCCGGUGUUUGCUGCUGCAAUCCAAGUGAAGUAUAUUUGGAAACAUGCCUGCCUCGAGUCUUCUUCUCUG
rnacentral:lncRNA from 1 species